AGAAAAUUCCUUUGAGAGAGUCACCUUUGUUUGAGCAUUGUCUGUUAAGCUCCAGUUUUUAGAAAGUGCCAACACUGCAAGAAUGGAGAAAUUCCACAUAAUUGAACCAGGGUGAGGUGGUAUGAGGUGAUAUAGGAUGGGCGGUGAGAUGAGAAGGGACAAAAGGGUAGGGGAGAAAGACACUGCUGAAUUUUUUACUCUGAAAUCCUUCCCCGCAGCCUCUGAAGAAGCUACCGUAAUAUUUACAAAAAUCACAACAUGCUUGUUACCUUUGAAUUUCCUGUGGAAGAUGACUUUUGCGGGGUUGAAAGAGCAUGAUGAUUCUCCGGGUACAAAGACUUCCGUGUGGCUGGGAAACUACCAGAAUGCACGCUGAUGAAAGUACAUUCAGGAAGUACAGAGACAGUCCUGUGGUCUGAAGCUUUCAUUUCUGAAGUCCCAUCAGUGUAUCUGCCUCUUCACAGAUGAGAAGGCUGUAUUAUCUUUGUUCAAGGUAAGCCCUUAAUGUUAUCUUUUUCAGUCAAAUCUAGCCACUUAACCACUUUGAGCACCG
rnacentral:lncRNA from 1 species